rnacentral:rRNA from 1 species
CAGCAGCCGCGGGAAUACGAAGGGUGCAAGCGUUACUCGGAAUUAUUGGGUUUAAAGGGUGCGUAGGCGGCAUGCUAAGUCAGGGGUGAAAGACGGUGGCUCAACCAUCGCAGUGCCUUUGAUACUGGUGUGCUUGAAUGUACAUGAGGUAGGCGGAAUGAGACAAGUAGCGGUGAAAUGCAUAGAUAUGUCUCAGAACACCAAUUGCGAAGGCAGCUUACUAAGGUAUGAUUGACGCUGAUGCACGAAAGCGUGGGGAUCAAACAGGAUUAGAUACCCCCGUAGUCCCUGUCUCUUAUAC